rnacentral:lncRNA from 1 species
GUUUUGAUAUUUAUGCAAGAACAAAGGAAAUAGUAAACGAAUAGACAUUUAUCGAAUAGCAUCUACACAAGUAGAGAUUUCUCAAUUAACAACCAUAUCGAAAAUCGGGUUUUAUAUAUCUAGUAAAAGCAUGCAUUACAAAUUAAUCAUUUUUGCUAUCGACAUUGAAACUUGAUGAAGGAGCAGCAUACCUAGAGGAAAAACUCCCAUAAGAGUCGUCUUCAUUGUUACCUUCAUCGAAGUUUUGAGCAUAACUUAAUGGACUAUAUCUGAAGUUGCCAGCUGGCAGUUUUCGAUUUGUUCGAUUUCUCAAUGACAACAACGAAAAUAUUUGUUUGAAAAAUCCCCAGCAUGAAACUUUAAAUUUUUCUUCGUCUUCUUCUGCUUCGUCUUCACCCUCUCGAUUUCGAGAAGACGAAUGGUUCUCUAUAGCUUCAAUCUUUUUUUGAUUCAUAAUGUGUGCAUAAAGAGAGAGAGAGAGAGAGAGAGAGAGAGAGAGAAAAGAAGGUGCCCGGGGGGGUGGUUGAUA